UCGGCUUAGAGUUUGAUCAUGGCUCAGAUUGAACGCUGGCGGCAGGCCUAACACAUGCAAGUCGAGCGGUAGGGAAGCUUGCUUCCCACAAGCGGGGGACGGGUGAGUAAUGUAUGGGGAUCUGCCCGAUAGAGGGGGAUAACUACUGGAAACGGUAGCUAAUACCGCAUAAUCUCUCAAGAGCAAAGCAGUUCGUUGCGCUAUCGGAUGAACCCAUAUGGGAUUAGCUAUUUGGUGAGGUAAUGGCUCACCAAGGCGACAAUCCCUAGCUGGUCUGAGAGGAUGAUCAGCCACACUGGGACUGAGACACGGCCCCCACUCCUACGGGAGGCACCACUGGGGAAUAUUGCGCAAUGGGCGCAAGCCUGAUGCAGCCAUGCCGCGUGUAUGAAGAAAGCCUUAGGGUUGUAAAGUACUUUCAGUUGGGAGGAAGGCGUUGAUUUAUAUCAACGAUUGACGUUACCAACAGAAGAAGCACCGGCUAACUCCGUGCCAGCAGCCGCGGUAAUACGGAGGGUGCAAGCGUUAAUCGGAAUUACUGGGCGUAAAGCGCACGCA
rnacentral:rRNA from 1 species